rnacentral:rRNA from 1 species
CGCACAAGCGGUGGAGCAUGUGGUUUAAUUCGAUGCAACGCGAAGAACCUUACCUGGUCUUGACAUCCACAGAACUUUCCAGAGAUGGAUUGGUGCCUUCGGGAACUGUGAGACAGGUGCUGCAUGGCUGUCGUCAGCUCGUGUUGUGAAAUGUUGGGUUAAGUCCCGCAACGAGCGCAACCCUUAUCCUUUGUUGCCAGCGGUCCGGCCGGGAACUCAAAGGAGACUGCCAGUGAUAAACUGGAGGAAGGUGGGGAUGACGUCAAGUCAUCAUGGCCCUUACGACCAGGGCUACACACGUGCUACAAUGGCAUAUACAAAGAGAAGCGACCUCGCGAGAGCAAGCGGACCUCAUAAAGUAUGUCGUAGUCCGGAUUGGAGUCUGCAACUCGACUCCAUGAAGUCGGAAUCGCUAGUAAUCGUAGAUCAGAAUGCUACGGUGAAUACGUUCCCGGGCCUUGUACACACCGCCCGUCACACCAUGGGAGUGGGUUGCAAAAGAAGUAGGUAGCUUAACCUUCGGGAGGGCGCUUACCACUUUGUGAUUCAUGACUGGGGUGAAGUCGUAACAAGGUAACCGUAGGGGAACCUGCGGUUGGAUCACCUCCUUA